CUGUGGCUUUUGACCGCGUUUGUUUAUUCGUAAAUAUAUUUGUAUAUCGUAGAAGUGAUAUAUUAGUGAUAUGAAGUAUAUAAAAAAAUAUGCUCGGAUCCUGUUAUAACCCGGUGUUUUCGUAAUCUAGGUGACCCAAAUAAGACGCUGGUAUACUUAGUUUGAUUUCGAAAAAAAUCAAUUUUUGAUGGAAAAAUUCGAUACGGGGGGGUAUACCCGAAAAAUGAAAAUAUCCAAACUUUGAAGGUCGAUAUCUCGGCUUCUAUGGGAGCUAUCGGGAAAAUUUCAACGGUUUUGUCUUAGUUUCGUCGUCCUGAAUCCAACGAGACCAUCCGCAAGGUCGUAGCUCUUCUAAUAGCUGAGAUAUGGCAUUUUUGAUGCCCAUUUUUGGCCUCAAAAACGGACGUCGAAAACGACUUUUUCAGGAUUUUCAAAGUGCUCUCAUUCCCUUAGUUCUGCUCGGAUCCUGUUAUAACCCGGUGUUUUCGUAAUCUAGGCGACCCAAAUAAGACGCUGGUAUACUUAGUUUGAUUUCGAAAAAAAUCAAUUUUUGAUGGAAAAAUUCGAUACGGGGGGGUAUACCCGAAAAAUGAAAAUAUCCAAACUUUGAAGGUCGAUAUCUCGGCUUCUAUGGGAGCUAUCGGGAAAAUUUCAACGGUUUUGUCUUAGUUUCGUCGUCCUGAAUCCAACGAGACCUUCCGCAAGGUCGUAGCUCUUCUAAUAGCUGAGAUAUGGCAUUUUUGAUGCCCAUUUUUGGCCUCAAAAACGGACGUCGAAAACGACUUUUUCAGGAUUUUCAAAGUGCUCUCAUUCCCUUAGUUCUGCUCGGAUCCUGUUAUAACCCGGUGUUUUCGUAAUCUAGGCGACCCAAAUAAGACGCUGGUAUACUUAGUUUGAUUUCGAAAAAAAUCAAUUUUUGAUGAAAAAAUUCGAUACGGGGGGGUAUACCCGAAAAAUGAAAAUAUCCAAACUUUGAAGGUCGAUAUCUCGGCUUCUAUGGGAGCUAUCGGGAAAAUUUCAACGGUUUUGUCUUAGUUUCGUCGUCCUGAAUCCAACGAGACCAUCCGCAAGGUCGUAGCUCUUCUAAUAGCUGAGAUAUGGCAUUUUUGAUGCCCAUUUUUGGCCUCAAAAACGGACGUCGAAAACGACUUUUUCAGGAUUUUCAAAGUGCUCUCAUUCCCUUAGUUCUGCUCGGAUCCUGUUAUAACCCGGUGUUUUCGUAAUCUAGGCGACCCAAAUAAGACGCUGGUAUACUUAGUUUGAUUUCGAAAAAAAUCAAUUUUUGAUGGAAAAAUUCGAUACGGGGGGGUAUACCCGAAAAGUGAAAAAACCCAAACUUUGAAGGUCGAUAUCUCGGCUUCUAUGGGAGCUAUCGGGAAAAUUUCAACGGUUUUGUCUUAGUUUCGUCGUCCUGAAUCCAACGAGACCUUCCGCAAGGUCGUAGCUCUUCUAAUAGCUGAGAUAUGGCAUUUUUGAUGCCCAUUUUUGGCCUCAAAAACGGACGUCGAAAACGACUUUUUCAGGAUUUUCAAAGUGCUCUCAUUCCCUUAGUUCUGCUCGGAUCCUGUUAUAACCCGGUGUUUUCGUAAUCUAGGCGACCCAAAUAAGACGCUGGUAUACUUAGUUUGAUUUCGAAAAAAAUCAAUUUUUGAUGAAAAAAUUCGAUACGGGGGGGUAUACCCGAAAAAUGAAAAUAUCCAAACUUUGAAGGUCGAUAUCUCGGCUUCUAUGGGAGCUAUCGGGAAAAUUUCAACGGUUUUGUCUUAGUUUCGUCGUCCUGAAUCCAACGAGACCAUCCGCAAGGUCGUAGCUCUUCUAAUAGCUGAGAUAUGGCAUUUUUGAUGCCCAUUUUUGGCCUCAAAAACGGACGUCGAAAACGACUUUUUCAGGAUUUUCAAAGUGCUCUCAUUCCCUUAGUUCUGCUCGGAUCCUGUUAUAACCCGGUGUUUUCGUAAUCUAGGCGACCCAAAUAAGACGCUGGUAUACUUAGUUUGAUUUCGAAAAAAAUCAAUUUUUGAUGGAAAAAUUCGAUACGGGGGGGUAUACCCGAAAAGUGAAAAAACCCAAACUUUGAAGGUCGAUAUCUCGGCUUCUAUGGGAGCUAUCGGGAAAAUUUCAACGGUUUUGUCUUAGUUUCGUCGUCCUGAAUCCAACGAGACCAUCCGCAAGGUCGUAGCUCUUCUAAUAGCUGAGAUAUGGCAUUUUUGAUGCCCAUUUUUGGCCUCAAAAACGGACGUCGAAAACGACUUUUUCAGGAUUUUCAAAGUGCUCUCAUUCCCUUAGUUCUGCUCGGAUCCUGUUAUAACCCGGUGUUUUCGUAAUCUAGGCGACCCAAAUAAGACGCUGGUAUACUUAGUUUGAUUUCGAAAAAAAUCAAUUUUUGAUGAAAAAAUUCGAUACGGGGGGGUAUACCCGAAAAAUGAAAAUAUCCAAACUUUGAAGGUCGAUAUCUCGGCUUCUAUGGGAGCUAUCGGGAAAAUUUCAACGGUUUUGUCUUAGUUUCGUCGUCCUGAAUCCAACGAGACCAUCCGCAAGGUCGUAGCUCUUCUAAUAGCUGAGAUAUGGCAUUUUUGAUGCCCAUUUUUGGCCUCAAAAACGGACGUCGAAAACGACUUUUUCAGGAUUUUCAAAGUGCUCUCAUUCCCUUAGUUCUGCUCGGAUCCUGUUAUAACCCGGUGUUUUCGUAAUCUAGGCGACCCAAAUAAGACGCUGGUAUACUUAGUUUGAUUUCGAAAAAAAUCAAUUUUUGAUGAAAAAAUUCGAUACGGGGGGGUAUACCCGAAAAAUGAAAAUAUCCAAACUUUGAAGGUCGAUAUCUCGGCUUCUAUGGGAGCUAUCGGGAAAAUUUCAACGGUUUUGUCUUAGUUUCGUCGUCCUGAAUCCAACGAGACCAUCCGCAAGGUCGUAGCUCUUCUAAUAGCUGAGAUAUGGCAUUUUUGAUGCCCAUUUUUGGCCUCAAAAACGGACGUCGAAAACGACUUUUUCAGGAUUUUCAAAGUGCUCUCAUUCCCUUAGUUCUGCUCGGAUCCUGUUAUAACCCGGUGUUUUCGUAAUCUAGGCGACCCAAAUAAGACGCUGGUAUACUUAGUUUGAUUUCGAAAAAAAUCAAUUUUUGAUGGAAAAAUUCGAUACGGGGGGGUAUACCCGAAAAGUGAAAAAACCCAAACUUUGAAGGUCGAUAUCUCGGCUUCUAUGGGAGCUAUCGGGAAAAUUUCAACGGUUUUGUCUUAGUUUCGUCGUCCUGAAUCCAACGAGACCAUCCGCAAGGUCGUAGCUCUUCUAAUAGCUGAGAUAUGGCAUUUUUGAUGCCCAUUUUUGGCCUCAAAAACGGACGUCGAAAACGACUUUUUCAGGAUUUUCAAAGUGCUCUCAUUCCCUUAGUUCUGCUCGGAUCCUGUUAUAACCCGGUGUUUUCGUAAUCUAGGCGACCCAAAUAAGACGCUGGUAUACUUAGUUUGAUUUCGAAAAAAAUCAAUUUUUGAUGAAAAAAUUCGAUACGGGGGGGUAUACCCGAAAAAUGAAAAUAUCCAAACUUUGAAGGUCGAUAUCUCGGCUUCUAUGGGAGCUAUCGGGAAAAUUUCAACGGUUUUGUCUUAGUUUCGUCGUCCUGAAUCCAACGAGACCAUCCGCAAGGUCGUAGCUCUUCUAAUAGCUGAGAUAUGGCAUUUUUGAUGCCCAUUUUUGGCCUCAAAAACGGACGUCGAAAACGACUUUUUCAGGAUUUUCAAAGUGCUCUCAUUCCCUUAGUUCUGCUCGGAUCCUGUUAUAACCCGGUGUUUUCGUAAUCUAGGCGACCCAAAUAAGACGCUGGUAUACUUAGUUUGAUUUCGAAAAAAAUCAAUUUUUGAUGGAAAAAUUCGAUACGGGGGGGUAUACCCGAAAAGUGAAAAAACCCAAACUUUGAAGGUCGAUAUCUCGGCUUCUAUGGGAGCUAUCGGGAAAAUUUCAACGGUUUUGUCUUAGUUUCGUCGUCCUGAAUCCAACGAGACCAUCCGCAAGGUCGUAGCUCUUCUAAUAGCUGAGAUAUGGCAUUUUUGAUGCCCAUUUUUGGCCUCAAAAACGGACGUCGAAAACGACUUUUUCAGGAUUUUCAAAGUGCUCUCAUUCCCUUAGUUCUGCUCGGAUCCUGUUAUAACCCGGUGUUUUCGUAAUCUAGGCGACCCAAAUAAGACGCUGGUAUACUUAGUUUGAUUUCGAAAAAAAUCAAUUUUUGAUGGAAAAAUUCGAUACGGGGGGGUAUACCCGAAAAAUGAAAAUAUCCAAACUUUGAAGGUCGAUAUCUCGGCUUCUAUGGGAGCUAUCGGGAAAAUUUCAACGGUUUUGUCUUAGUUUCGUCGUCCUGAAUCCAACGAGACCAUCCGCAAGGUCGUAGCUCUUCUAAUAGCUGAGAUAUGGCAUUUUUGAUGCCCAUUUUUGGCCUCAAAAACGGACGUCGAAAACGACUUUUUCAGGAUUUUCAAAGUGCUCUCAUUCCCUUAGUUCUGCUCGGAUCCUGUUAUAACCCGGUGUUUUCGUAAUCUAGGCGACCCAAAUAAGACGCUGGUAUACUUAGUUUGAUUUCGAAAAAAAUCAAUUUUUGAUGAAAAAAUUCGAUACGGGGGGGUAUACCCGAAAAAUGAAAAUAUCCAAACUUUGAAGGUCGAUAUCUCGGCUUCUAUGGGAGCUAUCGGGAAAAUUUCAACGGUUUUGUCUUAGUUUCGUCGUCCUGAAUCCAACGAGACCAUCCGCAAGGUCGUAGCUCUUCUAAUAGCUGAGAUAUGGCAUUUUUGAUGCCCAUUUUUGGCCUCAAAAACGGACGUCGAAAACGACUUUUUCAGGAUUUUCAAAGUGCUCUCAUUCCCUUAGUUCUGCUCGGAUCCUGUUAUAACCCGGUGUUUUCGUAAUCUAGGCGACCCAAAUAAGACGCUGGUAUACUUAGUUUGAUUUCGAAAAAAAUCAAUUUUUGAUGGAAAAAUUCGAUACGGGGGGGUAUACCCGAAAAGUGAAAAAACCCAAACUUUGAAGGUCGAUAUCUCGGCUUCUAUGGGAGCUAUCGGGAAAAUUUCAACGGUUUUGUCUUAGUUUCGUCGUCCUGAAUCCAACGAGACCAUCCGCAAGGUCGUAGCUCUUCUAAUAGCUGAGAUAUGGCAUUUUUGAUGCCCAUUUUUGGCCUCAAAAACGGACGUCGAAAACGACUUUUUCAGGAUUUUCAAAGUGCUCUCAUUCCCUUAGUUCUGCUCGGAUCCUGUUAUAACCCGGUGUUUUCGUAAUCUAGGCGACCCAAAUAAGACGCUGGUAUACUUAGUUUGAUUUCGAAAAAAAUCAAUUUUUGGUGAAAAAUUUCGAUACGGGGGGGUAUACCCGAAAAGUGAAAAAACCCAAACUUUGAAGGUCGAUAUCUCGGCUUCUAUAGGAGCUAUCGGGAAAAUUUCAACGGUUUUGUCUUAGUUUCGUCGUCCUAAAUCCAACGAGACCAUCCGCAAGGUCGUAGCUCUUCUAAUAGCUGAGAUAUGGCAUUUUUGAUGCCCAUUUUUGGCCUCAAAAACGGACGUCGAAAACGACUUUUUCAGGAUUUUCAAAGUGCUCUCAUUCCCUUAGUUCUGCUCGGAUCCUGUUAUAACCCGGUGUUUUCGUAAUCUAGGCGACCCAAAUAAGACGCUGGUAUACUUAGUUUGAUUUCGAAAAAAAUCAAUUUUUGGUGAAAAAUUUCGAUACGGGGGGGUAUACCCGAAAAGUGAAAAAACCCAAACUUUGAAGGUCGAUAUCUCGGCUUCUAUAGGAGCUAUCGGGAAAAUUUCAACGGUUUUGUCUUAGUUUCGUCGUCCUGAAUCCAACGAGACCAUCCGCAAGGUCGUAGCUCUUCUAAAAGCUGAGAUAUGGCAUUUUUGAUGCCCAUUUUUGGCCUCAAAAACGGACGUCGAAAACGACUUUUUCAGGAUUUUCAAAGUGCUCUCAUUCCCUUAGUUCUGCUCGGAUCCUGUUAUAACCCGGUGUUUUCGUAAUCUAGGCGACCCAAAUAAGACGCUGGUAUACUUAGUUUGAUUUCGAAAAAAAUCAAUUUUUGAUGAAAAAAUUCGAUACGGGGGGGUAUACCCGAAAAAUGAAAAUAUCCAAACUUUGAAGGUCGAUAUCUCGGCUUCUAUGGGAGCUAUCGGGAAAAUUUCAACGGUUUUGUCUUAGUUUCGUCGUCCUAAAUCCAACGAGACCAUCCGCAAGGUCGUAGCUCUUCUAAUAGCUGAGAUAUGGCAUUUUUGAUGCCCAUUUUUGGCCUCAAAAACGGACGUCGAAAACGACUUUUUCAGGAUUUUCAAAGUGCUCUCAUUCCCUUAGUUCUGCUCGGAUCCUGUUAUAACCCGGUGUUUUCGUAAUCUAGGCGACCCAAAUAAGACGCUGGUAUACUUAGUUUGAUUUCGAAAAAAAUCAAUUUUUGGUGAAAAAUUUCGAUACGGGGGGGUAUACCCGAAAAGUGAAAAAACCCAAACUUUGAAGGUCGAUAUCUCGGCUUCUAUAGGAGCUAUCGGGAAAAUUUCAACGGUUUUGUCUUAGUUUCGUCGUCCUGAAUCCAACGAGACCAUCCGCAAGGUCGUAGCUCUUCUAAUAGCUGAGAUAUGGCAUUUUUGAUGCCCAUUUUUGGCCUCAAAAACGGACGUCGAAAACGACUUUUUCAGGAUUUUCAAAGUGCUCUCAUUCUCUUAGUUCUGCCCGGAUCCUGUUAUAACCCGGUGUUUCGUAAUCUAGGUGACCCAAAUAAGACGUUGGUAUACUUAGUUUGAUUUCGAAAAAAAUCAAUUUUUGAUGAAAAAAUUCGAUACGGGGGGGUAUACCCGAAUAAUGAAAAUAUCCAAACUUUGAAGGUCGAUAUCUCGGCUUCUAUGGGAGCUAUCGGGAAAAUUCCAACGGUUUUGUCUUAGUUUCGUCGUUCUGAAUCCAACGAGACCAUCCGCAAGGUCGUAGCUCUUCUAAUAGCUGAGAUAUGGCAUUUUUGAUGCCCAUUUUUGGCCUCAAAAACGGACGUCGAAAACGACUUUUUCAGGAUUUUCAAAGUGCUCUCAUUCCCUUAGUUCUGCUCGGAUCCUGUUAUAACCCGGUGUUUUCGUAAUCUAGGUGACCCAAAUAAGACGUUGGUAUACUUAGUUUGAUUUCGAAAAAAAUCAAUUUUUGAUGAAAAAAUUCGAUACGGGGGGUAUACCCGAAUAAUGAAAAUAUCCAAACUUUGAAGGUCGAUAUCUCGGCUUCUAUGGGAGCUAUCGGGAAAAUUUCAACGGUUUUGUCUUAGUUUCGUCGUCCUGAAUCCAACGAGACCAUCCGCAAGGUCGUAGCUCUUCUAAUAGCUGAGAUAUGGCAUUUUUGAUGCCCAUUUUCGGCCUCAAAAACGGACGUCGAAAACGACUUUUUCAGGAUUUUCAAAGUGCUCUCAUUCUCUUAGUUCUGCCCGGAUCCUGUUAUAACCCGGUGUUUCGUAAUCUAGGUGACCCAAAUAAGACGUUGGUAUACUUAGUUUGAUUUCGAAAAAAAUCAAUUUUUGAUGAAAAAAUUCGAUACGGGGGGUAUACCCGAAUAAUGAAAAUAUCCAAACUUUGAAGGUCGAUAUCUCGGCUUCUAUGGGAGCUAUCGGGAAAAUUUCAACGGUUUUGUCUUAGUUUCGUCGUCCUGAAUCCAACGAGACCAUCCGCAAGGUCGUAGCUCUUCUAAUAGCUGAGAUAUGGCAUUUUUGAUGCCCAUUUUUGGCCUCAAAAACGGACGUCGAAAACGACUUUUUCAGGAUUUUCAAAGUGCUCUCAUUCCCUUAGUUCUGCUCGGAUCCUGUUAUAACCCGGUGUUUUCGUAAUCUAGGUGACCCAAAUAAGACGUUGGUAUACUUAGUUUGAUUUCGAAAAAAAUCAAUUUUUGAUGAAAAAAUUCGAUACGGGGGGGUAUACCCGAAUAAUGAAAAUAUCCAAACUUUGAAGGUCGAUAUCUCGGCUUCUAUGGGAGCUAUCGGGAAAAUUCCAACGGUUUUGUCUUAGUUUCGUCGUUCUGAAUCCAACGAGACCAUCCGCAAGGUCGUAGCUCUUCUAAUAGCUGAGAUAUGGCAUUUUUGAUGCCCAUUUUUGGCCUCAAAAACGGACGUCGAAAACGACUUUUUCAGGAUUUUCAAAGUGCUCUCAUUCCCUUAGUUCUGCUCGGAUCCUGUUAUAACCCGGUGUUUUCGUAAUCUAGGUGACCCAAAUAAGACGUUGGUAUACUUAGUUUGAUUUCGAAAAAAAUCAAUUUUUGAUGAAAAAAUUCGAUACGGGGGGUAUACCCGAAUAAUGAAAAUAUCCAAACUUUGAAGGUCGAUAUCUCGGCUUCUAUGGGAGCUAUCGGGAAAAUUUCAACGGUUUUGUCUUAGUUUCGUCGUCCUGAAUCCAACGAGACCAUCCGCAAGGUCGUAGCUCUUCUAAUAGCUGAGAUAUGGCAUUUUUGAUGCCCAUUUUCGGCCUCAAAAACGGACGUCGAAAACGACUUUUUCAGGAUUUUCAAAGUGCUCUCAUUCUCUUAGUUCUGCCCGGAUCCUGUUAUAACCCGGUGUUUCGUAAUCUAGGUGACCCAAAUAAGACGUUGGUAUACUUAGUUUGAUUUCGAAAAAAAUCAAUUUUUGAUGAAAAAAUUCGAUACGGGGGGGUAUACCCGAAUAAUGAAAAUAUCCAAACUUUGAAGGUCGAUAUCUCGGCUUCUAUGGGAGCUAUCGGGAAAAUUCCAACGGUUUUGUCUUAGUUUCGUCGUUCUGAAUCCAACGAGACCAUCCGCAAGGUCGUAGCUCUUCUAAUAGCUGAGAUAUGGCAUUUUUGAUGCCCAUUUUUGGCCUCAAAAACGGACGUCGAAAACGACUUUUUCAGGAUUUUCAAAGUGCUCUCAUUCCCUUAGUUCUGCUCGGAUCCUGUUAUAACCCGGUGUUUUCGUAAUCUAGGUGACCCAAAUAAGACGUUGGUAUACUUAGUUUGAUUUCGAAAAAAAUCAAUUUUUGAUGAAAAAAUUCGAUACGGGGGGUAUACCCGAAUAAUGAAAAUAUCCAAACUUUGAAGGUCGAUAUCUCGGCUUCUAUGGGAGCUAUCGGGAAAAUUUCAACGGUUUUGUCUUAGUUUCGUCGUCCUGAAUCCAACGAGACCAUCCGCAAGGUCGUAGCUCUUCUAAUAGCUGAGAUAUGGCAUUUUUGAUGCCCAUUUUCGGCCUCAAAAACGGACGUCGAAAACGACUUUUUCAGGAUUUUCAAAGUGCUCUCAUUCCCUUAGUUCUGCCCGGAUCCUGUUAUAACCCGGUGUUUUCGUAAUCUAGGUGACCCAAAUAAGACGUUGGUAUACUUAGUUUGAUUUCGAAAAAAAUCAAUUUUUGAUGAAAAAAUUCGAUACGGGGGGGUAUACCCGAAUAAUAAAAAUAUCCAAA
rnacentral:lncRNA from 1 species